rnacentral:lncRNA from 1 species
UUCAAAAUUUUUAGACAGCUAAAUUAUUAUUUUUUUUCUGUCAAGAAGCAUAACCGCUGCUGGACAUCACUCUGGGACUCAGGGGGGGACCCGAAUCAUCCUCACCCCUUCAUUCACACAACACUCACUCAUAUCACAGAGAUCUGGCUGGGAUUGAACCAGCGACCUCUGAACCAUGAGGCAGCGCUCUUACCUACAGAAAAAGACAUUCUCCUGCGUCCUGAGUUAGAAGAGGUCAUGGCCAGUCACCCGACAUGUUUUAAGCUGUGGUACACCAUCGACAGGGAUCCAGACGGUAAAAAUGUGUUGAUUUACAGAUGCUGUUUAGCCAAAUCACCAACCUCAGUUUAGGUGACUUACUCCAGUUCAACCAGACAUUAAUAAUCAAACAAAAGAUAACAAGCAGAAGUCAUUAACUUGAGGUGUGUGCUAGGAAGAGAGUACAGCCAAGGCUUCAUCACUGAGAACACGAAGAACCUCCUUCCUCCAUCUGCAGAUGACACACUUCCCAUGAUGCAGUUCACCUACAAACCUGUAUUUCUUGAUCCUUGUCCAGCACCUUAUUUAAUCCAUCUGAUACAAAUCAGCAGAUUUUCAGAGAGCCAAAUGAACUGAACUGUCUGUCAGAUAAGAGACAUAAAUGAGAGUUGAGCAAAUUAUUGUUAUUUACCAAAUGUUGCACUGAUGAGAUUCAGUUCUAAGCGUGGGUUUAAAUAAAAACAAUAUGUAUAUGCCCUAUCUUUUGAAGGGCAAAUAAUUUAUCAUUGGACUUUUAAUUAUUUCAGCUCAUUUUUAUGACCUGCUUGCAGUUC